rnacentral:rRNA from 1 species
UACGGGGGGGGGUAAGCGUUGUUCGGAAUUACUGGGCGUAAAGGGCUCGUAGGCGGCCAACUAAGUCAGACGUGAAAUCCCUCAGCUUAACUGGGGAACUGCGUCUGAUACUGGAUGGCUUGGAUUCGGGAGAGGAAUGCGGAAUUCCAGGUGUAGCGGUGAAAUGCGUAGAUAUCGGGAGGAAUACCAGUGGCGAAGGCGGCCUUCUGGACGGAUACUGACGCUGAGGCGCGAAAGCCAGGGGAGCAAACGGG